rnacentral:rRNA from 1 species
UACGUAGGGUGCGAGCGUUGUCCGGAAUUAUUGGGCGUAAAGAGCUCGUAGGCGGUUUGUCGCGUCGACUGUGAAAACUGGGGGCUUAGCUCUCAGCUUGCAGUUGAUACGGGCAGACUUGAGUUCGGUAGGGGAGACUGGAAUUCCUGGUGUAGCGGUGAAAUGCGCAGAUAUCAGGAGGAACACCAAUGGCGAAGGCAGAUCUCUGGGCCGUAACUGACGCUGAGGAGCGAAAGCAUGGGGAGCGAACAGG